rnacentral:rRNA from 1 species
UACAGAGGUCCCGAGCGUUUGUUCGGAUUCACUGGGCGUAAAGGGCGCGUAGGCGGCUUAACAAGUCACUUGUGAAAUCUCCGGGCUUAACUCGGAACGGCCAAGUGAAACUGUCAUGCUAGAGUGCAGAAGGGGCAAUCGGAAUUCUUGGUGUAGCGGUGAAAUGCGUAGAUAUCAAAGAGGGAACACCUGAGGUGAAGACGGGUUGCUGG